GAUGAACGUUGGCGGCGUGCCUAACACAUGCAAGUCGAGCGCUAGUAGCAAUAUUAGAGUGGCGCACGGGUGAGUAACACGUAGCUUAUCUACCUCCCAGCGCGGGAUAACGGUUCGAAAGAACUGCUAAUACCGCAUAAGCUCACGAGCUAUAGAGGCUGGUGAGAAAAGGCUUAAGGUCACUGGGAGCGGGGGCUGCGGCCCAUCAGCUAGUUGGUGAGGUAACGGCUUACCAAGGCGACGACGGGUAGGGGACCUGAGAGGGU
rnacentral:rRNA from 1 species